UGCUGUAGGUGUUAAGUGGAGAAAGACAUGAGUGUGGACAGCCUCAGUCAAGGAAGGCUUAAUGGAGGAGCUCAUCAGAGAACAGCAAGCUGGUCAUCCACAAGGAUCUGAGGGAAUGAGACAUUGGACAGGUAUCCUUCUGUGGCUCUCCUCAAGGAUGUUUUUCAAGUUCACGUCAGUCUUCUUCAGCCUAUCACAGACGU